GAUGAACGCUGGCGGCGUGCUUAACACAUGCAAGUCGAACGAAGCAUCUGCGACAGAUUUUUUCGGAAUGAAGUUGCUUAUGACUGAGUGGCGGACGGGUGAGUAACGCGUGGGUAACCUGCCUUGUACUGGGGGAUAGCAGCUGGAAACGGCUGGUAAUACCGCAUAAGGGCACAAUGUUGGAUGAGAUGGUGUGAAAAACUCCGGUGGUAUAAGAUGGACCCGCGUCUGUUUAGCCAGUUGGUGAUAUAACAGCCCACCAAGGCGACGAUCAGUAGCCGACCUGAGAGGCUGACCGGCCACGUUGGGAAUGAGACACGGCCCAGACUCCUACGGGACGCAGCAGUGGGGAAUAUUGCACGAUGGAGGAAACUCUGAUGCAGCGACGCCGCGUAAGUGAAGAAGUAAUUCGUUAUGUAAAGCUCUAUCAGCAGGGAAGAUAGUGACGGUAACUGACUAAGAAGCUCCGGCUAAAUACGUG
rnacentral:rRNA from 1 species